rnacentral:rRNA from 1 species
GGGCCCGCACAAGCGGUGGAGCAUGUGGUUUAAUUCGAUGAUACGCGAGGAACCUUACCAGGUCUUAAAUGCAUAACGAACGAUUGGGAAACCAAUCUUUCUUCGGACGGAAUGCAAGGUGCUGCAUGGUUGUCGUCAGCUCGUGCCGUGAGGUGUCAGGUUAAGUCCUAUAACGAGCGCAACCCCUAUUCUUAGUUGCCAGCGGUUCGGCCGGGGACUCUAAGAAAACUGCCAGUGCAAGCUGUGAGGAAGGUGGGGAUGACGUCAAAUCAUCACGGCCCUUACGACCUGGGCCACACACGUGCUACAAUGGUAGGUACAAAGGGCAGCCACUUGGCGACAAGGAGCUAA